UCUCAUCUCUUCUCGCUUUGCUCUCUUUUUCUUUUUCAUUUUGUCUCAACACAACACACAUACACACACUCCUCUCCCUCACUCUCCCACCGGUACACUCCUAGCUCAUCACCUCCACCAUUUUUCUGGCAAGAUCACCGGAAAACCCUCAAGAACAUCACACCUUCACAUAAGUUAUUUGAGGUUCUAGCUAAUUUCAUUUGGAGCUUGGAAAAUUAGGCUUUUGUCGGUUGCGAAGUAAGUAGCUUUCUAAUGGGAUUUUUGGAAAAUAAUCAUGUUGUAUAAACAUUGUUUUUGGGUCAAACACAUUUUGGAAAAUUAAUGGUGGAACUAUGUUUUUCUAAAAAGUGUUGUGCUGUGACCCUACUAUAUAUGAUUAUAUAUGAAAGUGCAUAUUCUUAUUGCAUAUGGGGAAUUGCAUGAUUUGUUAGCAUAUAAAAGACUAGCAUCUUGAUUAAAUUCUUGAGAAUGAAUUUUAUGGAUUUAUAGCAUUAUUUGCAAAAUAUAUAGAUGCUUUAUCUUGACCUACGUUAUUUGGGAAGUUAAUACAAAAUCAUUUUGACAAGAAAUGAGUUGAGGGCUUUGAGAACUUUGUGAAUAUCUUGGGCAUUCAAAUAUUUUAUGAAACUACUUGGAAGUGAAUUAUGUAUUUUGAAUUAAAGGUAAUUUGUGAGCUCUUUAUGUUCUACCCAUGUGCUGUGAUGUGUGAUUACCCGCUGCCUAGCUAGAUACUAUAGUCUGUGUGACAUUGGUAUCUUAGCACCCAUCUUUGUGAUGGUUAUUGAGUUCUGUCUUUGUAACGGCGAUGAGUUCCGUCUUUGUGACGGCAUUGUCAUGCAGCCUUGGGUUUGGAAUUGUAUUGUUAUUGCUCACAAAUUAUAGUAUGUAGUUUCAUGAGAGCAUUUUGAGAAGCUUUGUGCCAUGUCAUUUGAUUCAUUCU